AGUAAAGCAACAGAGAAAGAGAAGCAGCAGUCUUGGGGUCACGUCUGGGGAAGAAGGCUGUCAGCGGUCGGCGUCAUUCAUGACGGUGAAGACACGUCGUGAAACCAGAGGGUCUCUUCAUCGCGUGGGAAGGAAGACGGAGGGCUCAUAUGUGUCUUUAUCAUAGUGUGUCUCGCUGCUGGCACUGGAUUUUUCUAGUUGAAAAGGAAGCCUAGGCAGUUCGUGGAGAAGCUGGGCUGAAAUCAAUCGGAAGGGUAUUCAUAGUAACGUCUCAGAAGGCAAUCGAUUUUGUCGGCGUUGAUGACCUCAGUUUGAAGGUGGCGGAGAUGAGGCAUUUGAUUUGAAGCUGGAGGGUUUCGGUACGGUGGAGAAGAUCGAGGUAGACUCAAGAGAGGAAGGGUGUCGCCAGCAAAUACUCCAUUUGCAAGCCCGGUGGUAGCCAUGGGUGUCGACUAGGGGCACUGACGGAGGCGCUAGCAGAACCUCCAGUAGUGGCUGUCUCAGGGUGGAAGACACGACAGCGGGCCUCCAGUUAGAAAGAAGUCAUGUCGCGCAAGAGAGGAAGGAGAAGAGUGACCGGCAGAGGUCGCGGUGAUCGGUGCCAUUAGGCGAUGCCUUGGACAGCGGCUUGUGGAGGCUGGUAUGGUGGUGGCCGGUCGAGUGGGGGUAGGGUGGCCAUGAGCAGCGGAGGUAUCUCUGGGUUCUUCUUAUCAAAGGAAGAAGAGACUUAGGUCUCUGGCAUUGGGUGCAGAUGAUGAAAUGGUGAAAUGAAGAGGGACCCCUAACGUUUCUGAUUUGGGGCAAAGGGUCUUGGGCCAGUUGGGCUAUUUCCUUUCUUCCCGCCACCGCGCAACUCUAUUUGCACCACCAUUACCUUUCUGUAACCGAGAAAAGAAGCCUUGGGCCGGGUCAGCA
rnacentral:lncRNA from 1 species